rnacentral:lncRNA from 1 species
GUGAGAACUUAGGGCCAUGUCAGCUCGUGAAUCUCCAUUUGCUGUUUACUGUGCUGUUAUAAAUGGGGCUAUAAUCCAGCCUGAAUGAAGGUCAGUUAAAUACAGAAAACAUCCAGCUGCCCUCCAAGGGCUUCCCAAGUGUAUCCUGCAUGCACUCAGACCUGCAACCAUGGAAGUGGUGGUAGUUACAACUUCUGGCUGAACCUGAGAAGCAUCCAGUCUGCACCUAGGAGGACUGCCCAGUCUGGGCCCAUUGGUCAGCUCAUCUUCCUCAACUUCAUUAGCUGCAAGUUGUACUGGAGUGACAUACCAUUGCUGGUUAACACCCCAGGUCUGGCUAUGACCCCAUACUGACAGUUAAGUCUGGAGUUGGGAAAACCUUUACUGAAGGUGCAUUCAUGGGUAUGGUAGUUAGAAUAUGUUUGGCCCAGGGAGUGCCACUAUUAAGAGGUGUAACUUUGUUGGAAUAGGUGUGGCCUUGUUGGAGGAAGUGUGUCACUGUUCAGGGUGGACAAUGAGACCCUCCUCCUAACCAUGUGGGAGCCAAUCUUCUCCUAGUGGCCUUUAGAUGAAGAUGUAGAACUCUCAGCUCUGCCUGCACCAUGCCUGCCUGGGCACUGCCACGCCCCCACCUUGAUGAUAAUGGACUGAACCUGUAAGCCAUCCCUAAUGAAAUGUCCUUAUAAGAGUUGCCUCGGUCAUGGUGUCUGUUCACAGCAGUAAAACCCUAACUAAGAUUAUGUGGACCCCACCACCACCACCACCACUCACACACACACACAAAGUCUUCUCUCAGCCAGAGCCAACUGACUUUGUGAAGUGGAGCUGAGCUUUGGGUUAGUCAGCCUGGCAAAUGAAGGUUAAUGGUUAUGAAAUAGUCCAGGGGAGAAAGUCACAGAUCACCACUCUUGCUAAAACAGUUAAGGGUACAGCAAGUCCUUUAAUUAGCUGGUGAUGAAGAGUGAGUGGGCUAGUGCCUCGGAUGGGCUCUUGGUAUGGAAGCACUGCAGGACAGGGGCUUUAAGUCAAAAGGCAGAAAUCACAUCAUUUCAGGUGCAAGGUGAGCAGGUUUUACUUUCAGGGUAGGGUGGGCUGUUGGUUUGGUUGCUUGUUUUGUUUUUGGUUUUUGUUUUGUUUUGGUUUUUGGUUUUUCAAAACAGGGU